rnacentral:sRNA from 1 species
ACCACAGCUAGGCUUAUAACCGAAAAGGAGAACCUUACUCCCUGCUGUGGUAAUAACUAUAAGGA